GAACCUAUAUAAGUAGGUAAUUUAUAUAACAUCAUAGCAGGUACAGAAUUGUGGUCCUGUACAACUAGCAUUAAAAAAAGUGCUCUUUGUUGAUUUCUUAGGGAUCGUGAAGAUCUUAUUCGCGUGUAUUUGCACUCGGAAGGGUUAUGAUGACUAUAUAAUAAUCAGACAUAGUACGAUAAGGUAGUAUGUCUAAAGGGAAACAGCCCAGAACAAGAGUUAAUAAGGUUCCAAAAUUAUUGUUAAGUGAAAAUAAGGAAGUUUCAAUCAAAUAUGCCCAGGGGAUAGGCUUAGAUGCGGCCAUUUUUUGAAGAUCUCGUAACAGAGCACUGGAUUAGUAAAUUAUUUUUAUAAUUUAUAUUGAUAAAAGCACCAAAAAUUUAACGGAUCUAAACAAUAUACCGAGACCUUGUCCAUAUUUAUAUAUAUAUCUAAGUUGUAUAUUGUAUUUAUGGGGUAGCGGAACAUUGGGCAAAUCUAAGAAUUUUUCUUUUUAAGACUUAAGAUAAGAUAACCCAAGCGAUAAUGCUGACAUGAGUAACGAUAAAGGGAAUAAACUAUUCCCUCGCCUAAAACUUAUGGUAUUUACUUAAAGUAACGGCCUCUAAGUUUAUGAACCUAAAGGACUAAACGAUGAGAAAAUCUACUACCUGCGAAUAAAUAACCUUUGUGAUAAGACUUAGAUGACUAUAGACGUAGUAAAGUAUAAGCUUUUUUGCUAAAGUGACAAGGUUCUGGAAAAUUUAAGUGGUGCAUCAUGGAUAAUAGGGAGGAGGCAAUCUCCUACCUACCAUGGUGUAAAAAGACCGUACCUAGAAACUACCCCCAGUAAGUUAGUAGAGAAUACGAAGGCGUUUGAGUGAACA
rnacentral:rRNA from 1 species